rnacentral:rRNA from 1 species
AGUGAACGCUGGCGGUAGGCCUAACACAUGCAAGUCGAGCGGCAGCACAGUAAGAGCUUGCUCUUACGGGUGGCGAGUGGCGGACGGGUGAUGAAUACAUCGGAAUCUACGUUUUCUUAGGGGAUAACGUAGGGAAACUUACGCUAAUACCGCAUACGACCUACGGGUGAAAUCAGGGGAUCUUCGGACCUUGCGCGAUUGAAUGAGCCGAUGUCGGAUUAGCUAGUUGGCGGGGUAAAGGCCCACCAAGGCGACGAUCCGUAGCUGGUCUGAGAGGAUGAUCAGUCACACUGGAACUGAGACACGGUCCAGACUCCUACGGGAGGCAGCAGUGGGGAAUAUUGGACAAUGGGCGAAAGCCUGAUCCAGCCAUACCGCGUGGGUGAAGAAGGCCUUCGGGUUGUAAAGCCCUUUUGGUGGGAAAGAAAAGCAGCAGGUUAAUACCCCGCUGUUCUGACGGUACCAAAAGAAUAAGCACCGGCUAACUUCGUG